GGUGGUUCAGCUUUAGCCGAGCUGCCUCAUGGAGUUGCAAGUAGAGGCUUCGCGGCUAGACAUCAUCGUGUCUGUGAGGCACUGCAGAUUUUCCUCGGUGAGCUGACGUUUGCCUGCCAUUCCCACUUUAAACUGAUUGACUGAUUCUUGUAAUUUGACCAAAUCGUGCUCGAGGUUGUCAAUGUGUUCUUUGUUCAAUGCCAUCCUGCUCUGAUACUAAUGAUAUGUCCGAGUCAGAGAGGUGAAUAAUUCUGCUUAUGGUGAAAAUAAAAACCAAACAAUUUGCUGUUAAAUCAAUAUGCUUUUAUUCGUCAAGCAUGGGUCCUUAAAUACAUAUAAAAAUUAACCAACUUUCCUACAUUUACGAAAAAUAUAAAAUUAAAAAUUGAAAGCUAACAACUACAAGAGUAAAAACUGAUGAGAUAAUAUAGAGUAAAAACUGAAGAGGAUUGACCAGUUCUGGUGGUGGC
rnacentral:lncRNA from 1 species